AGCGAACGCUGGCGGCAGGCUUAACACAUGCAAGUCGAGCGCUCGUAGCAGUACGAGAGCGGCAGACGGGAGAGUAACACGUGGGAACGUACCCUUCGGUUCGGAAUAACCCAGGGAAACUUGGGCUAAUACCGGAUACGUCCGCAAGGAGAAAGAUUUAUCGCCGAGGGAUCGGCCCGCGUCCGAUUAGCUAGUUGGUGGGUUAAUGGCCCACCAAGGCGACGAUCGGUAGCUGGCCUGAGAGGAUGAUCAGCCUCACUGGGACUGAGACACGGCCCAGACUCCUACGGGAGGCAGCAGUGGGGAAUAUUGGACAAUGGGCGCAAGCCUGAUCCAGCCAUGCCGCGUGGGUGAUGAAGGCCUUAGGGUUGUAAAGCCCUUUCGGCGGGGAAGAUAAUGACGGUACCCGCAGAAGAAGCCCCGGCUAACUUCGUGCCAGCAGCCGCGGUAA
rnacentral:rRNA from 1 species